rnacentral:tRNA from 1 species
AAUUAAUGAGCUUGUAAAUAAGCAUUUGUUUUGAAAACAUAAGAAAGAAAUACUAUAUUCUAUUAAUUU